AUCUUUAGGUAUCUGACUGUUAGGUACAACAUCUUCCUGUGGUACAUCAGCUGGUCUUUGAUUUAGACCUGGUAUGUAUCUCUGGGCAGUCUGGGAAGCUUUAAACAUUCUUUUAUCUAAAAAAAA